UGGCGAACGGGUGAGUAACGCGUGGGAAACCUGCCUUUCGAGUGGGGGAUAACAUUCCUAACGGAAUGCUAAUACCGCAUAACAUCACAGAUCGCAUGGUCUGUGCUCAAAGAUAGCCCUCUACAUGUAAGCUGUCGCUUGAAGAUGGUCCCGCGUCCCAUUAGCUUGUUGGUAGGGUAAUGGCCUACCAAGGCAUCGAUGGGUAGCCGGCCUGAGAGGGUGACCGGCCACACUGGGACUGAGACACGGCCCCAGACUCCUACGGGAGGCAGCAGUCGAGAGGCUUCGGCAAAUGGGGGGAAACCCUGACCGAGCGACGCCGCGUGGACGAUGAAGUUUUUCGGAAUGUAAAGUCCUGUCAUACGGGAUGAAAAGCCGAUUGGUUAAUAACCUUUUGGUCUGACAGUACCGUAAGAGGAAGCUCCGGCUAACUCCGUGCCAGCAGCCGCGGUAAUACGGGGGGAGCGAGCGUUAUUCGGAUUCAUUGGGCGUAAAGAGUUCGUAGGCGGUCAGAAUAGUCAGAGGUGAAAUCUAACGGCUUAACCGUUAAAUUGCCUUUGAAACUUUCUGACUUGAGUACGUGAGAGGAAAGCGGAAUUCUUGGUGUAGCGGUGAAAUGCGUGGAUAUCAAAAGGAACACCCGUGGCGAAAGCGGCUUUCUGGCACGAUACUGACGCUGAGGAACGAAAGCCAGGGGAGCAAACGGGAUUAGAUACCCCGGUAGUCCUGGCCGUAAACGAUGGGCACUAGGUGUAGG
rnacentral:rRNA from 1 species